rnacentral:tRNA from 1 species
GCGGGCGUGGCGGAAUUGGCAGACGCGCGGGAUUUAGGUUCCCGUGGGGGAGACCCUGUGCAGGUUCAAGUCCUGUUGCCCGUA